rnacentral:rRNA from 1 species
GACGAACGCUGGCGGCGUGCCUAACACAUGCAAGUCGAGCGAACCGACGAGGUGCUUGCACCUUUGACGUUAGCGGCGAACGGGUGAGUAACACGUAAGGAAUCUACCUAUAAGUGGGGGAUAACAUCCGGAAACGGGUGCUAAUACCGCAUAAGCCCACAGCUCGGCAUCGAGCAGAGGGAAAAGGAGUGAUCCGCUUUGAGAUGGCCUCGCGUCCGAUUAGCUAGUUGGUGAGGUAACGGCCCACCAAGGCAACGAUCGGUAGCCGGACUGAGAGGUUGAACGGCCACAUUGGGACUGAGACACGGCCCAG